AGAGCCAGGCCCCAGCCGGUGCCGCUCAGACUCCCCCGCUGUCGCCGCCGUGGUCCCAGCCAUGGCAUCCUAUCCAUCUGGCUCUGGCAAGCCCAAGGCCAAAUAUACCUUUAAGAAGCGGGCCAGCCUGCAGGCCUCCACUGCAGCUCCAGGAGCUGUUCACCCGCUCACUGGCUGAGAGCGAGCUCCGUAGUGCCCCGUAUGAGUUCCCCGAGGAGAGCCCCAUUGAACAGCUGGAGGAGCGGCGGCAGCGGCUGGAGCGGCAGAUCAGCCAGGAUGUCAAGCUGGAGCCAGACAUCCUGCUUCGGGCCAAGCAAGAUUUCCUGAAGACGGACAGUGACUCGGACCUACAGUGAGGAGGGCAGAGGGGCACAGGGGAUGCGGAGCUGGAGCCUGCCCUUCUGCCGGCUCUAAACCCCUCCCUUGAAUGCACCCCCUGCAGGCUCUACAAGGAACAGGGUGAGGGGCAGGGUGACCGGAGCCUGCGGGAGCGUGAUGUGCUGGAACGGGAGUUUCAGCGGGUCACCAUCUCUGGGGAGGAGAAGUGUGGGGUAAGUAUGGGGUGUAUGUUGGGUGAGUCGC
rnacentral:sRNA from 1 species